UUCUCUGCUCCGAAUUUCAAUGCCUGUCGAGCAACCAACGUACAUUUGUCCAUCUCUAAGGCUUUAAACUGAUAGAGAUCACUGAGGAAAACAUGUCAAAUGGUCUUCCGAAACCUCUGUGUCCUAACGAACAGCUAAGAAGUAACUAGUCAGGAUACUGUUUCUUCCUGGAUCCAGAUACACGAAACCGAGAAGCAAUCAGAGAAAGCUCUGCCUGCCACAGUUAUGGCGUAACGCAAGGUGUCAGUUUGGGGUCGGUGAUCAGAAUCACACAGCCAGCUCCAUGAGGAUCGGGGCACUCGGUUCAGCCACUCAGGUGCUGAUGUGACUGUGUCUCGCCCAGGCGGAGAAGAGUCGAGAGGCUUGGGGAUGUCUCUGAAGAACCAUCACUUGCAAGAGAAUUUAACACUUAAAUAGGUUAAGAGGUCGGUUUGGCCCUCACUUUUGCUGGGUCCAGCUUGGAGCGGGGAAGUCUGUCGGUGAUACAAGAAAGUAUUGAGAAUUCUUCCUGCAUUAGGAGCGAACACUCUUGAUUGCUGAUUAAAAUUGGCCUCACUGAUGCAAACCUGAACCUUUCAGGAAGUGGGUUGUGAGAAGUCCUAAUUAGCGUGAAAUUAUAUUUUGUGGCCCUGAUCCGUGUAGGACCGUAACUCCCUAGGUGAGGGAAGUAUUCGGAUCGUCCAGGCACUGGAGAUUGCCUGGAACCCGGACAUGAACUCAAAUGCUAUUUCCUACCCUCACUCCCAAACCCUGAAGAGCACUUUUCACUCAAAUGAAAAAGAAUUUCGAAAUUUUCCCCCUUGUUUUAGAGGGAAGAGGUAAGCCUCUCUCUGCCCUUCAGAAAUUCAACAUCAACUUCUCAUUUUCACAUACCGUUUGGUUAGUUUCCACACGUUACUUGUCCAUGAGUAACUUCCCAAACAAAGAUCCUUUUCCCUCCCAAGUGUCCAAAGCUGGUAUCAGGUCUCUAAAUAAGUGCCAAAGCAUUAUUAUUGUAUUGCCUGAUAAGCAUAGGACAAAAUUAACAUAAAAUAGAACGAAGUUGUUUAACACUUCUUAUCUCACAGAUUAAAUACAUCCUGAACGGCAAUAGGGCCGUCACAGAAUGCCCUGAUAGAGAAAAAUCUUGAAUCAUCGGCCAGAGAUCCACAAGACAGCUGUGCACCUAAGAGGCCUGGGUCCCAUAAGUGAUCUCAGAGCCAAGUUGCGUUCUCUGUCCAGAUUCAGGGGAAAAGCCUUGGGCGGCCAGCCUGCUGGUAGAAAAGAUGCGGAGCUUGCAUUCUGGCUGAGGCCCAGAGCAAGAUCCCAGGAGCCCCAGUUCACCUGAGCACAGUCACAUAGAGCCACCUGCCAGCCCUGGGUCUCUGCAGCAGCCAGAUGCACCCGCCACAAGCCUAGAACAGCUGGCAGCAGGGAGUAGGGGGGAGGGGAAUAGGGGCGUGGCUGUGGUGAGUAAAUCACCAUCCAACACCCUCCCCCUACAGAUGUCUCAGCAAUCAAGUCUGCGGGUGAGCGAACAAUGAUAGUGGAACACCUGGCUUUGCUAUAGCUUUGCAUACCUGCCACAGGCACUUUGGACACACAGAAUCACAUGUUGGGUGGAGGGUGGAUAAGCAGCUGAAAAUGCAUCUAUUCAUCAUAGGAAGACAGGGGGAGUCAGGACAUGGUCCCUAACAUUUGGAAGAGCUAAACUCGGGCUGAGGUCUUCAGAAACAAGAUGCCAUUAUAUACAAAGACUGAAGGGUGACAGGUGGCCCCAUUAGAAAAGAAUUCACAAAGCUUCAGUUUUGAUAUUACUUGGAGACUGAAAUGUAAUGAUCCCAUUUAUUCCAUCAGCAAAAGUUGUCACAGUCUUGUUGUAAGAAGAAUGAGCCUCCGCCCUUUGGAAAUUCAACGUGAACUUAUCAUUUUCACAUACUGUUUGGUAUAGUUUCCACAUGUUAAUUGUCCAAUAAGUAACUUCCUGAACAAAGAUCUCUUUCCCUCCGCAGCAUUGAAGCUGGUGUCAGGGCUUUGAAUAAGUGCAAAUCAAAGCACGUCGUCUAUUCCUUGAUAAGCCUAGGAUGAAAUUAACAUAAAAUAUAAUGAGGUUAUUUAACUCUUCCUAUCUUACAGAUCAAAUAAAUCUAAGAUGAAAAUAGGAUUGUCACAGAAUGCCCUGGUAGAGAAAAAUCUUGAAGUAAUAAUCUAUGUUUCCUGGCUGAAUAUAGACCUAUGGUAUUAACAUCAUCUCAUAUAUAACAUACAUAUUAUCACACAUUUAUGCUAUAAAUAUUAUAUCCAUAUACACACUCUAUACGUGUGUAAUUAAAUAUUAGAAUUCUAUUCUUAACUACCCCAAAGUCAUAUUUUUAUAAUUAUUUGUUUGGCUAAGAUUUUAACUCCUAUAAUUUAAUAUUCCAUGGUCCACCAUUGAAUCCCUUGCCCCAUUUGGAAUUAAUGAGGAGACAGACGAAUGAGUGAAUGAAUGAAUGAGUGAGGAAUAUGUGCUGCCCACUGCUUUUACUCUCCCAGGGGUGGGCAGUCUCCAUUUCGAUCAGCCUCUUAUAGAGAGUUGGGUCCACACCCCAUUUCCUUCCACCUUGACUUUCUAGAUUGAUCUGUAGACAUUUUCCAAGAGCAGAACUUGGCUUAGAGAAAGCACUAUUUGAAAAGUGUUUAAUGAUAUUCCCUGAAGUUGCUUGGCCAAAUAUGACUGAAUCUUUCUAACGCAGAGAGAAAACAAAAUUAUUUACUCAUUCAGUAUUUAUUAGUUUGGAAACGGGACACAGUACCUAGCACACGACAAGGACUGAUGUUUGCUUUCUCAAGGUACCUGCCUCAUGCUCCUUCAGAAGACAGCAAGAAGAGGCUUACAGUGGCCGAGCCAAUGUUGACUGUAGCACAAUUCCUUAUGUUUUAGGGAGCAAUUAAUUCUGAUAAUUGAUGUUGGUAUAACAUGGGUCUUAAAUGAUUUAUGAAGGAGUUUUCUGACUCAGUACAGGCGUCUCUAAGAGUGUGCUUACCCAUUGCUGCCAUAUCCUGUGGAACACCAGAUAUGAAGGAGACCAGAAGGCAGGCAGAGAUGGGGAGCAGGAGUGUCAUGUCUCAGCUUUGCACCUGGGGCAGCCCAGGCCUGGGGGACAGCACAUGCUGAGCCCAGGCCACACCAGCCUCGCUCGUCAUCCAGAGCUAUAAGCUGGACACUGGGCAGGCCCAUGAUGGAGUUUCAGGUGGCAGCCUCAGAAGGAGACCACAGAGCCUGAAGUGGACUUCUGGCUGUGAGACUCUGUGGUCAUGUGGUUCUCUGGCUGCUCAUGCCCACAGACUGUCCAUCUGCCCAAAUACCGACCCCAGUGGCCAUCAGCCCACUACUCCUUGGGAUUUUAAAUGCUUUAGGAUUUUCCUUUUGAAAGUCAAGGCCUCUGGUACAGGCAGGCUUCAAGCCAUUACACUUUGUUUAUGAAGUAAGACCUAACUCAGAGUUGAAUGAUUAAUUAUGAUGAUUAACAGUGGGGUGUGGAGAAGGGGAGGGGAGGAAAAAAGGGGCAAGAACAGGAAAGGACACAGAGACUAGUAUUUAUUGAAUACCUACUGUGUGCCAAGCCCUGUUGUGAGACCCUUUAUACAUCUGUUGUUUCUAAAUCCCCACAAGAACAUUGAAAGAUGGAUAUAAUUAUUCCUGUUUACAGAUGAGGAAACUGAGGCUCAAAGAAAGUGAGCACCUUGCUGUCAGUCACAUCUCUGGAGGUGGCAGUGCUGGUGUUCUCACCUGCAUUACCUGACCCAGUGUACCCUUCUCCCACUGUGUCAGGAGGAUGCUCCAAAGACACACCUUACACUCCCACCUGGGGUCCAGCCUGGGCUCCCCCUCCCCCCCCCAGUCUACCUUGGAGAAGCGAGGACUAGGGGUGGGGAGAUAGUUGACAGGUUCUAGGGAAGGUGGUGGCCCCAAGGGAGGGGGGAGGGGAGUUAGGUGCUUCAUUUCUUCCUCCAGCUCAAUGUCUGCCACCACAAAGCAACUCCAUGUGGAUACAGUGUAAAUAAAUAGUGUGAGCUACGCCAGCACAACCUCAAAGCAAGACCUCUAGAGUCUCUGUCUACCCCGACUGCCAACUCUAAGCCCCCCUCCUAUGGAAAAUUUGGAGCCUCCUUUGAUUUACAAAAGAAUAUGCUAAUGUCUCUUAGACUGAAUGCUCCCUGAGAGCAGGAAUGUGUCCGCUUAACUCUGCACGGCAUCUAACAGGCUACACCCAGUGCCCGCCCUACAAUAAUUUCCCAGGAAACACUGGUGACAUGCAUGAAUGAAGAUGAAUCGCUUCUGCUUGCCUUCUGCUUUAAACCAAAAAAGCCUGAAUCACCCCCUGUGGGUGAAACUUGCUAUCCCCAAGGAGAGAAAUGUCCUUACAGCUCUCUGGUAGCUUCUAGAGCAUUCUGUACCCACUGGAGCCAAGCAAGGCCUGUGACAUUCUUAGGACGCUAUUGAGCUGCCAGAGCACGUCAAGUUUAAUGCUCCCUCAGCAAACAAGGAGACACGCGCAGGCCCAAAGACAGUGGCUGUCAAAUGGACAUGUGAAAACUGAAUUGCUGUUUCUUGGGACGUGGUGAGAGAGUUUCUCUCCCUUUCGAGAAAGGUCUGGGUAAAGGAACUCAGAGAAGCCCCAAAGGCCUGAGACUCAAAGGGGGCUGUCCAAAAUUUAUCGCUUAUCUGACCAGAGCUGUCUUGGACAGACUGAAGUCAUUAGCUGGGCGGGCUUGGGUGGGAGGAACCUCCGAGGUACCUGGCACAGAGAGUCCGAGAGGGGCAGGCACCAUCAUGGUCAGCUCUAAAUCUCUGAACUAAAAUUACUAGGGCAGAAAGACGUGGACAUUCGGUGCCGUCCUUCCCUCCCACCUCCUUGGAGCAACAUGUGCCCUUUCAAAAAGAAUAGCACAGAUAAAAAUCUCAUCCAUUUACUGCAGAGUCUCUGCCAUAGUUGUAAAAGAAAGGCCUUUAUCAUCCCCCGAAUUAGAUCUGUGAUUUUUUUGAAUGACAAGUAUAAUAAUUAGACUGUGAAGAUGUGCCGUUAAUCCAUUUAAAGGUGUAAAGAAGUCCAUUUAAUGAACAUUAUAGUCACAUUAGACUUGGAAACAUCCAACUCUUUUGUUGAAUAAAAAGAAGUUCAACGAGAUUAACUUCUCUUAGUUGGUUUUAAGGAAUAAUCAAACAUGUCUCCCUCUGAUAGUGUACGGUGCCUUCUCGUGUGGAUUCUGCAUACCAAUGUCUGCCAGCCAGGAAGGGUAAGAAUAAGGCCGCCAGACCUCACAUUUCAGUCAAAUAAUUACAAAUUAAAAAGGAUCACUCCUACUUUCUAUACUUACUAUAAAGUGAUAAGAGGCCCAACUCCUUGAACUUGUAAUUAUGUAACAGAAAUGUUAAUCUUCUGGUUCGGUAUUCUCUCCUGCUGUAUUACAUGCAUUCUUACAACGAUCAAGUUUACUACUUGACAUGUAGAUAUUUCUGCUGGGAGACCCAUUACUUGAUCCUACCAGAUUCUGACCACAAAUAGGGUAACGGAUCGUUUUCAAAUCUUGUGCUGUUUCGCAUCUCCGGAUGAGGCUGCUGUGAUGGCUGCUUAACUGGAGUAAGUGCCGGGCACAGAUGCUCUCUGCUCCGAUGUAGAGUGGCUCAGAACCCAGAUAUCCUAGCUAACUCCUGGGGUUAUUUCAAAGAGCCAGACUUUUGAAACAGAAAUGGACAAGUUUGGAAUAAUCCCAGAUUUGAUUUAAAAAACAAACGAAAAAAAAAGAAGGUGCUAAAUUGCGGUUGGUCAGAUUUUGUCUAUUAAUUAGACUCUUCUCCCUCAGGCUUCUGACUUACUACCGCCUUUGUAGCUCGGGAAUGUAUAUUUCACCUUAUACAUUGGCUCUCUCUUCUCUGUAGUUGCUAAGAAUUUAAAAACAAACCACCGAGACAUAUAACAUACCAUCUAAGAUUUCAGAAGGCAAAGGGUAAAGAUUGCCUUUUCCCACGGAAAAGAAGCCUUCCAUAGUGAGGAAGGACAAGCCUAAGAAGAGCUGGUCUAAACAUGAAAUUAGGGAGUCGGCUUGGGAAGAGCGUGUCAGCACAGCAUCCUCUCUCCUUGCUUUGUGCCUGAUGCCUCCCGCGAACCAGUGACAGUGAUGGAUGACUGUGGAGAUUGUCCAAGCCAAACUGCUAACCAGCACUGUUAGAUCUUUUUGUAGUUGAGGAAACAAAGCUGAUAAGAUCAAGAAGCAACAUAAUCCCCGGUGAUGGAGUGUGAUCUGUCUUGUAGAGCGUAACUGGCAUUACGCAGACAUCAUACCUUAAACCAACCAUGGUAUUUGUAGGAGCGGAAAGAAAAACUUACUGCAGGUUAAAAGAAGUUUGGUUUUCAAAAGAAUCAUAAAAAUGGGAUGUGCCUUUCAGAGGCCGUGGCAGUGUCUACUCCGGAUCAGCUGAGACUAACUCAGAAAUUAAGCCUGGAGACCCGGCACGCAUCUCGUUUCACUUUCCACUUCUGUUUUGCUCUGGCUCCCUUAUAAUCCUCCAAGAUGAACGUCCAAGAGGGAUAAAACAGGGAGACCUUAUUCCGAAAGGUCACAAUUAGAUCAUUGCCUUUCACCGGCCUUCAAACGGGGCCAAGGGGAAUAAUGGUCUGGGCCUUCCAUCGCCCUGGGAAAGAGGAAGAACAUUACAUUUUGUUAUUUGUUGCUAUGACUUUUCUUUAUUUUGAGAUUAUCUUCAUUAUAUGUUUAUCCCACAUAAGACACGUACUAGCUAAGACAAAGGGACAAUACGUUCAGUCCACAAGUGAGCUAAAAUGGCAAACGCAGAGGAAAACUUGAUGUAUACACUUCUGGAACUGAUGGUCCAACUGUAAAAGACGACAUGUUCCUUCUGGUACCUGUCUGGGUUUUUGGUGUAGAAACUGAUUUAGAGGUCUAGGGAGCCCUGGGGCAUUCGUAAUGGGCGAAGGUUGCCGACAUCACCAAAGUUUGAAGCUGUUCUGUAACUGCUUUAAUCAACCUGAAAUUUAAAAUUACACUUCAGUGAAGAAUAUCUACGAGAUCUUAAAAAAAAAAAAA